UACGGAGGGGGCUAGCGUUGUUCGGAAUUACUGGGCGUAAAGCGCACGUAGGCGGGCGAUUAAGUCAGGGGUGAAAUCCCGGAGCUCAACUCCGGAACUGCCUUUGAUACUGGUCGUCUAGAGAUCGGAAGAGGUGAGUGGAAUUCCCAGUGUAGAGGUGAAAUUCGUAGAUAUUGGGAAGAACACCGGUGGCGAAGGCGGCUCACUGGUCCGAUACUGACGCUGAGGUGCGAAAGCGUGGGGAGCAAACAGG
rnacentral:rRNA from 1 species